rnacentral:lncRNA from 1 species
UAGAACCCUGUUGUCAACUAGUGACAUCGGGUACAAAUCAAGUCAUUGUUAGAGGUAGAGAUGAUGUGGCAGUAGUUAUGCCCACGUGGCAGUAGCUUUAUGUAUAUGUACACAAUCAUAUACAGUUAUAUAUAUAGAGAGUUCUUCCUCCUCGUGUGCGCGUCUCUCCGCUGCUAACAUGGUAUCGGAGCCUUGGGCUCCUUGAUCCUGAGAAUGGCGCUUGCUGGCCAGGAGGCCAGUGAUGAGGAGGAGGAUGAGCCUCCCAAUUGCAAUCCCUCUUGCAAUGUUUGGGACGCUUGAGGCGUUGCACCAAGGCACCAGGCUGUGUAGAGGUGCUGAGCAACAAGCAGCAGCAAGUAGAGAACAAAGCCAGUGGGAGAUUGAGAGAUUUCACCAACCCACAUCAAGAAUUGGGUCAAGAUUCAAGAACAUUGCAUAGCAAUUCUUUGCAGGAAUUUCCAGCAAUUGGGAAGGAUGUUUAUGGAGAUUCAAGUGCCUAGUCGCAGAGAAGUGGGAGCCUGGCAGUUCACGGCCAAGACCUCAUGCUAGAGGCAAGAUUGAAGCCAUAGCAAGAAGCAAAGAGUGUGCAAGCAAGUCCAAGACCAAGAACCAAGUUUUGGGUAGUUGAUUGAUGAGUUUUUCAUAUGCUUUUCUCAUCAGCUCUCCAUGCUCAUCAUCUCAGACUAGCUAGGCACGAUUCAGGCUUAGAUUCAGACUGGAAUCAGCCGCCUGAUCGUGAGUGGGAGUGUUAGAGGUAGAGAUGAUGUGGCAGUAGUUAUGCCCACGUGGCAGUAGCUUUAUGUAUAUGUACACAAUCAUAUACAGUUAUAUAUAUAGAGAGUUCUUCCUCCUCAUACCAAUCACUUACGUCAGAAGGAAGAACUCCUUUCUUCACUGCUGCAGGAAGAAGAGGUCAUCCAUUCCGAGACUAGCAAAUUCUUCUGAGCUGCUAGAAGAUGAGCUGAGCCUGGGCGAGACAUUUUUGAACCAAGUAAGCUUGGCACUGGAGCAGCUCCAAUGCCGCAUUGGGACUCACAUCCGAUCCACACGAAAUCUCUCCGCCGCAAAAAAGAUAAAAUAUCGAACCAAAACACGAUUCGAGCUGCUUGCUACUCACCAGGAGCAGCGCGCGUGAAACACUUCUUCGAGUUGCCCGUUUCGGGCAAAUGCUGUUAUCGUUUCAGUCCGUACCUUUCGGGCGUCAAUGAAAAACCUUUUCGCCUAUUCCCUCUACUCAAGCGCAAAAGUAGUUACUGACUGGUCUUGAUGAAAAUCCAAUUGUUGCUUGAGCUUUCUCAGCUCCAGUAGACCAACCACAGAACAAAUUCAAGGAGCAGCUUGAAUCCGUGAGUCGCUGUCCCCUAAUGGUUGCACCUUGCUGGAUGGAUCGUGGAAAUAACUAGAUCCAGAGCAAUCUUUGCCACAUAUGUCACCAGGCUGCCCGCGGGCCGUUAUGGCCCAGGAACAUAAAACCAUGGUUUUUCAUCGUUUUGAGUUGUGGACUUGCAGAUGUGAGCUUGGUGGCUGCAAAGGACGACCUCGGCUAGACAACAUAUUUUCUCUCAUUUUUUAUGUUUCUUCGUUUUCUUUUUUCUUCAGGCUCGAAAGAUCAAGAAGCUCCUCCACACCAGCUAACAACGAAUCAAAGAUAAUGCGGUGAGCGUGGAUCGAACACGCGGCCUUCAGAUCCAGUCUGACGCUCUCCCAAACUGAGCUUGGAUGGUUUUAGACAAUAACUUCAAUAUGAUUAAGUUAAAAUGUAAAAGCUUACCUCUACAAUGAGAGUUUGGGGGCUCCGGCGAUCUCGAUCAAACCACUACAGCGGCUACUCUAUAGAUUCCUCUUCAAUCUCCUCAUCCCAGUCGCUUAUAAUAAGUUUAUUACUGUCUAUCAAAUGCCGGAAAUGAGUAAAAUCACUUGGACCGGACUAAUUGCAGCAUUUGCCCAAAACGGGCAUCUAGGGGAAUCCAGGCAGUGUUUGACGCGUUGUCUAAAGAGAAGUCCAUAGCAUCAUGGACGGCGAUCAGGCCUCAAUGUCCCCGGAUGUUGUAUAUGGUACGGUAUCCUGGACAGUGAUCGAUCCAAAACUCCUGAAUCGAUCAGGCCCUCAAUUUCUUCCAGAAGUUCCCACAAUGUAUGGGCACGAGCCGGGACGGAAACCCUGUUCUUAUCUAUGCGUGCUAUCCUGGACCAGGCAGCAGCUCUUCCAUUCGAUGCCCGAGAUGGAUCUCAUCAGCUCCACGGCGGCGUUCCAGGCAUUGCGUGUUUGAUUCCAUGCCCGAGCACAACGCCAUGUUGUGAGGUGACGCGCUAGGCUGAGGCGAGAUGGGCGAUCACAAGGCAAGGGUGAGCGGCUGAUCCUCGAGGAGAUUCCCUUCAACCAUCGUGACCGUUCUUGAGAGGGGAGAUUUGCGGAGCUUUAAUCAAAAAGGCAAUGCUCGAAUAUGGGUUAAAUUAGAAAAGUGAGUUUGUGUGAAUUACAUGAACUUGGUUACUCCUUUGUUUCAAAGAGGACUUUCUGGUACAGUGACGACCUUGCAACCCAUCUCCAGCUUCACCUUUGGUGUGAUGUACUCUCCAGCCAUGAUAUAUUCGGACAUGAUCUCGUAAAAGUGCUCUGUGUAGUGAAUGCCAUCAAAAGUGAAAUACUUGCUGGGAUCCUUACACACCGUGUAAGCAGCAUUGGUCUGGUUCAGUGGAGCACACCCGCAAAGACCCUCACCAUCACAGUUAAACUUGCCACCUCCACCGCAGCAUGACUGGAGCGAGUUCGUGAAGCCAAACUCCUUCAUAUUCUCCAAAACAUAGGUGUUUGCUGCAAACCAAUCGAAAUAAUACACAGUGAGACCCUGGUAUUUUUGCGUCAGCUCCUCCGACAGCCUCUGGAUGUUGGUGUUGAGGUAAGAGAUAAUCUGGGCAAUCUCAACAAUGCAACCAUCCUUGUCAUAGUGGAAUGUACCAGCGGGGUACUGUUGGAAAGAUUGGAGAUAGUUUGGAGAGCAAUCGGCACGGGGCAUGUUGUAGAGCACAACAUGACGAGCUCCGUGAGCAUAUAACUUCUGAAUUCCAUCGGCCAGGCCUUGGAUCACGGCCGGGAUGGUGACGUUGAUCACGUAGCCGCCUCCCAGUGGCAAACCAAAGUUGAUAUCGUCCCCUCCAAUCUCGACCGAGUAGAGUGCAUUCUCGUACCAUGGUUUGCUCGCCUGGCGACCAUAUCGACCCUCGACAAACUCCUGGUGGCGCACGAAGUCGUCAACCUGGGCGGACAAGACAUGUGGGCUCGAGUAUGGCUGGUUCUCGACCUUGAUCACCGUGGCUCCGGCGUAUCCAAAGUUGAGGCUCUCGAACUCGGUGCCAUUGUACUUGAGGCUGGGAGUUCCAAGGUUGUCGAGGCGGAGCUUCUGGAGCAGGAGGUCGGGGAUGACGAGCCCGUCGCAGUAGCGUCCAGUGGGCUUCCCGUAGGUGAUCCCGUAUGGGUACCUGCCCGAUAGGGUCUUGCCGCCACCGGCUUCAAUGUCGCGGUUGCCGCCAUCGCUGAGAGAAUCUGCAAAGGUGAAGACUGCGGUUGGACAGAUCGACGAGCUCGACUUUGGCGUUGCUGGCGUUGCUCGUGCCUGAGAAAGCAGCACAAUGUUAAGCAAAAGAGCAAAGAUUGCAAGAACAGUUCCAGACCAAGAAGCCAUCACAGCUGAUGGAUCUGUAGAAGUGUUGGAGGCCAAAGUUUAUAUAAUGGAUCCCAAUCUCUUGAACAAGAGCUAUCACAUCUAAAACUAGUUCCAUAUCCAUAUUUCGAGUUACCAAAGAGAUUGAAAUAUCUUUAGAGAGUUUGGUACUCGUGGAGUUGUAUGGCAAAUGUGGCAGCGCCAACGACGCUCGGGCGGAACAUCUUCUCUAGGGAUUUAAUUCUCUUGGUGAUCUUAGCCUAGUGAGGUCUUACUUGAGGCUGGAACCUUGCUUGAUCGAUCCUGAGUUUUGCAGAUUGCGACAGACCUUCUGAGAAUGUAUGGAUCGCUCCAGGAGGCUCGAUUGGCUGGCGAGAGUCUUAAGAAGUUGGGGCAGAGAGAUCUGGUGGCUUGGAAUGCGAUGAACGACGCUUAUGCCCUAUGCAAAGAAAGGCAUUUGCGAUUCACGAGAGGAUGCUUACAAAUUCACGUACACGACGCUUCUCUCCUGCUAUGACAAUCUGGGCGACGUAGAAAAGAUCCAUGCGCACCACUGCAUUUGCAAUGUGGAAUCCAGAUAAGGUGUUUGAAUAGUUGGACGUGGGGCUGUGGACUGCAAUCCUCCAGGACCUAAGGAUCAUGGAAGCCAUUCAAGUGAUAGAACAACAAGGUUUCUAGCGAGCAGCUUUAUGCUGCCUUCUCUCCUCCAGAUUGUGGAAGGUAGCAGUUGUUGAUCUGCUCAGGUCUCCAAGAAUCACGCACCAAUCAUUCAGGAAUAGCUUGUCUAUAGAGUGUGAUUGACGUGUGAAUUGCAACUCGUUUUCUCUUCACAGAUCCUUUCUGUUGUAUGCCCAGUAUGCGCCUCAGCCGCUCGUCAGGGUAUCGUGGAUGGUGGCCAAUACAUGUACACAUGUAGGCCAGGAGAGUUGAUCACGAAUUACCAAGCACGGCCGGAGCGAUGGAAAAUGCGAUGGCCUCCAAUGGUAUAAAAAAUCUUGGAUUUAAGCAUGUCUAUUCAAAUUCUUCCCCUUCCAUCGGUCUGCUCUACUUGUGAGCUGGAAAAUCUGUUAAUCCAGCCCCUGAAUAUUUCUGAUCUCCCUUCCUGUGCCCUUUAUCUAUCGGUAGCUACUGCAAGAUAGAUCCGAUGCAGGCUAGAUGCCCGAUACCUCGAAUGAAAUAUCGCCAUGUGUCUUGCGGUCUAGCGUCCUUGCGAUCAAUCUAUUCUGUUCAUUGCCAUCGAUCCUUUCUGAUCAAGCCUUUUUCUUUCUGCAUGGAUGCGUUUUUUCUCGCUUGAGCAUAGGAAAGAGUGGCGAGAUUUUCAUUCGAAACUUCCCGCAGCUUGAUCGAAUCAUCAAAGACACAAGGCCAUGUUUGGACUCCAGAGAUCCUCUUCAAGGUGUACAUGCGAUGAUCGGGGAGAGAGGUUUUGUGGAGAACAUAUUUCUGAAUGAGGAGGCUCGAGAAAGAAAAUGGCAAAGAUCAGGUUCUACAGGACAAAAAAGUGAUCAGUGCUCGAUAUGAUUCACAUUACCCCACAUGGUACAUUUGUGUCAUAUAUCUUCUUUCUGGUUUUUUAACUUGGGUGUUUUUUGGUGUAAAGUUGGUGCAACAAACAAAUUUGUGGGGAGGAACUUAGAUUCUUCAAAAGGACCAAGCCAGGGGCUUUUGCAAGAAAGGUGGGAAACAUUUUCUUCAAUCCAUCCCAGCUCUUGAGGUAUCCUUCCACUAUGCAAACAUAUCAAGCUCUGAAACCACAGGCUCCAGUCGGCCAUGAUCAUCAUGGCAUCAUAUCUUUGUUUGAGGAUAAGAUCACUGAGAUGUUUGUGUGUGAGACGGAUUCAUACCUGCAACUUUUGCGAUGGAGCAAGAAAUUUCUAAUGUUUGUUUAUUUUGCUAGAUGUCGUGAAACAAGCGAGGCAAAGGAGGACGAGCAAGCGGUGAUUGCCAGGCUGACCUGUGAAUUCAGCUUAAUCAUGGCCAUUUCUCUUUAUAUUUAAUGUUUUUAUGUUUUUAUGCUUUCUCCAAUGUCCUACAACUGAGGAACACACAACGAUUUUGUAACCCGGCAGCUAUGAAACUCCUAUUCAUAUAAAUAAUGAAAGAUGGAGCAGGAAUCAUUUUCACACCUGCCAGCAAUGUCCUCUACCAAAAUCCAUUCUCGUCGCACCACUUACCUUUAGCUUGGUGUUGUCACAAAAGUUGAAACUGAACCAAGAACAGCGAGGAACUUACGACUGGAAUCGCACUAAAACCGUGGCUGUUGUACUGAACUGCUUUGGAAUUUCCUCUGGAGCGAAGAUCUUUUAGUGGGGACGAUGUUGCUUCGUGGACAUGGUUGCUGUCCGAUCAUAUGGUAUGGUUUCCACGUUCAGUCCACAAAUCAACUUGGACUACGAGCGGCAGUUUUGCAAGUCAAGGCUCGAUACAUCCUUCACCGCGUCUUCGACACAGCCACCAAACCAGUCUACCGGAUAGAUUGGCACGCUCAAGCCGAUUUCUCCCCAACCUUUCUUACAAAUGGGAUAAGGUAAGGAGUCCGUGGUGAUAUACCAAAAACAAUCUUUUUUGUAGAUCCUGCUGCAAAUGCCGAUAUAGUAGCGUCGUUGAUUGGUGACAAUCACUUUUCCGUCUCAGAAAAUUUCAGCGUAUGGCAGCGAAACAUCAGGAAACAGAAUACUUGGAAACUUGUCACCUGCAUUUCUUUUUUAAAGUUAACAGCUUUGAAGCACAACCUGGAUGCACGUAGUAUCCUCCUGGCAUCCACAUGAGCAGCGACUGCACCUUGAGCAAGCUUCCAGAUCCAGCCAAGCUCGAAAACAUUCGUCGCAGAUGAAUCACAGGUUGCCAAAACUAGUUUCUUACCAUCCGCCCAGGAAAGCGCAACAUCGGCCAAACGACUAGUGAUGAUAACAUGAGGCCGACUUGCUGUAGCACCUGGACGAUUGCAGCUAGAACCCUGUUGUCAACUAGUGACAUCGGGUAAAAAUCAAGUCAUAUCAAUCACUUACGUCAGAAGGAAGAACUCCUUUCUUCACUGCUGCAGGAAGAAGAGGUCAUCCAUUCCGAGACUAGCAAAUUCUUCUGAGCUGCUAGAAGAUGAGCUGAGCCUGGGCGAGACAUUUUAGAACCAAGUAAGCUUGGCACUGGAGCAGCUCCAAUGCCGCAUUGGGACUCACAUCCGAUCCGCACGAAAUCUCUCCGCCGAAAAAAAGAUAAAAUAUCGAACCAAAACACGAUUCGAGCUGCUUGCUACUCACCAG